UACGGAGGGUGCGAACGUUAAUCGGAAUCACUGGGCGUAAAGCGCGCGUAGGCGGUCUGUUAAGUGGGAUGUGAAAUCCCCGGGCUUAACCUGGGAAUUGCAUUUCAAACUGGCCGACUAGAGUACGGUAGAGGGAGGUAGAACUUCCUGUGUAGCGGUGAAAUGCGUAGAUAUAGGAAGGAAUACCAGUGGCGAAGGCGGCCUCCUGGAUCGAUACUGACGCUGAGGCGCGAAAGCGUGGGGAGCAAACAGG
rnacentral:rRNA from 1 species